ensembl:lncRNA
UAGAAAUGUUCUUUUAAUAAAUGUACUAAAUAAGAUGCAUAAUUUAGCUCCUUCUCUGUAGCCUGCCGGCCAGCUGCCAGCUCUGAACUCCUUCUCGGCCUCUCUCUUUUCCUCCUCCCUUGAUCUCUCACCAUCCCUCCCUUGGGUUUGACUCAGCACGGAAAUUACCUGCUGGCCUGGUAAAAACAAUCUCAUUAAAAAGCCAUCACAGUUGUGCCUGAUGGCUUCAUUUGUCCCCCAGUGGCUCAAUUUAUACCUUCCUUUGGAACAAGCAGAGAGUGAGUACUCUCCAGGAUGGCUUUUUCCAGCUGUACUAUAUGCAUCCCAACAGACCACAGGCCUCAAGUAAAAGUCAACAAGCUGAGAAUCCGAAGACCUUGUUUUAAGAUAGACCGUUGGAAAACUGUUUGCUAUCUGGUUUCACCCCUACUCAAAAGGGAAGAGGUUAUACAGAUGGAAGAGCACUGGGGGUCAUUCUUAGAACCAGG